CGACAUUUUUUGUCAUUCAUUUCAAAAAAAGCCAACAUCAAUAUUAAAGUACAGAAAAAUGAUCACAAUUUAAGACUAAAUUCAGAAUGGUUGAUCUGAGAAAAUAAUCAUACUUUAAAGUUCUUUCCGGUUUCGCCCAUUUCAUAACAAACAAAUCGUUACAGGGCUAUAACUUCUGACAUUUUGGCAAGCAGGUGCUGGAGAAAUAUAUAUAUAUAUAUCGUAAUGCAUUUAUUGGACUGAUCUAUGGGCAAUGGCAACUAAAUAAAAAGAUGAAAAAAGAAUAAUGGAACAGGAAAUAAGUGAAAGAAAGUGCCACAAUGACAGCCAUUUCUCAUGUUAGACGUGCUUUUUAUGUGCACGGAAAUUAAAGUAAUAAUUUUUUAUAGCGCGAACAAACAAAGGCAUUAUAUUUUACAACGUGGCCAAAAGAAAGAGAAAGAGAGAGAGAGAGAGGGACAGAGAGAGGGAGCUGCAAGACCCAAAGAACGCAAACUAAAAAGCCGAAGCAAACCGCAAAAUGCACUGAAGGACAAUUGAGUGCAGAAAUGUAUAUAGAUGGGGCGCUUGAGAAACUUCAAGCGGAUACAUCGUCCAAACAACUCAGCAAACCGAGGCAAGCCCCAACAAACUAACCCCCAGACUACCCCAGAGAACUACCCCGAGCCCGUCCCAACAAACUCAGCGAAGCGGCCAGCGGUCGCCACGGCAUCGGAUCUCGGCAAGAACAAAGGCUUUGGCAGCUGCGACAAUGACAACAGCGAAAUAAAAACAUAUAAAAACCC